rnacentral:rRNA from 1 species
CAGCAGCCGCGGGAAUACGAAGGGUGCAAGCGUUACUCGGAAUUACUGGGCGUAAAGCGUGUGUAGGUGGUUUGUUAAGUCUGUUGUGAAAUCCCCGGGCUCAACCUGGGAAUGGCAAUGGAUACUGGCAAGCUAGAGUGUGUCAGAGGAUGGUGGAAUUCCCGGUGUAGCGGUGAAAUGCGUAGAGAUCGGGAGGAACAUCAGUGGCGAAGGCGGCCAUCUGGGACAACACUGACGCUGAGGCACGAAAGCGUGGGGAGCAAGCAGGAUUAGAUACCCCAGUAGUCCCUGUCUCUUAUAC